rnacentral:rRNA from 1 species
GAUGAACGCUAGCUACAGGCUUAACACAUGCAAGUCGUGGGGCAUCAUGAUGUAGUAAUACAUUGAUGGCGACCGGCGCACGGGUGAGUAACGCGUAUCCAACCUACCCUCCACUCAAGUAUAGGCUUCCGAAAGGGAGAUUAAUCCUUGAUAUCGUCAUUCUCUCUCCUGUUAGAAUGAUAAAAGGACAUCGUUUCGGUAGAGGAUGGGGAUGCGUUCCAUUAGGUAGUAGGCGGUUUAACAGGCCACCUAGCCGAUGAUGGAUAGGGGUUCUGAGAGGAAUAUCCCCCACACUGGUACUGAGAUACGGACCAGACUCCUACGGGAGGCAGCAGUGAGGAAUAUUGGUCAAUGGGCGCAAGCCUGAACCAGCCAUGUAGCGUGAAGGAUGACGGUUUUUUUAAUUGUAAACUUCUUUUCUGUGCGAUUAAAGUGUGGCAUUUAUGCCAUAGGCAGUAUCUCA